AAAAAGUUUUAUUUUGGCUUUAUAAUAGUAUUUAUUUUGAGUAAAAAAAAUGUUUGUUUAGAUAUAAUGUUUAUAUUUUUUUGUAUUAAUUUUUAAGUUAUUUUAAAAUUAGCAAUUUAAUUUAAAUUGGGAUAAUUAAGUGCCAGCAUUCGCGGUUAAACUUAAUUGUUUAAUUAUUAUUUUAAAUUUUUUAUGAUUAUAUUUUUUGAUAGUUUAAAAUUAAAAUUUAAGUGAAAUUUUUUGAGUUUAAAAUUGUCUUUUAAUUAAUAUAUAAAUUUAAUGAGUAGACUAGGAUUAGAUACCCUAUUAUUUUAAUUAAGGUUUAAAAUUGAUUAGUAAGUUUUAUAUCUGAAAUUCAACAGAUUUGGCGGUAUUUUAUUCUUUUUAGAGGAACAUGUUUUUUAAUUGACAGUCCACAAAAAUCUUACUUAAUUUGAAAUUUAUUGUAUACCUCCGUCAUAAAAUUAAUUUAUUAGAAUAUUUUUAAGAUUUUAUUUAAAGAAUGUCAGGUCAAGGUGCAUAUAAUGAUUAAGUUAAAAUGUGUUACUUUUUUAAAAAUUUUGAAUUUUUUUAUGAAAUUUAAUUAAUGAAAUUGGAUUUAAAAGUAAGUUUAUAUAAUUAAUAUAAGCUGUAAUUGUUUUAAAAUAUGUACAUAUCGCCCGUCAUUCUCUAUGAGACAAGUCGUAACAAAGUAAAUGUACUGGAAAGUGUAUUUAGAUAACA
rnacentral:ncRNA from 1 species